rnacentral:rRNA from 1 species
CCUACGGGGUGCAGCAGUCGAGAAUCAUUCACAAUGGGGGAAACCCUGAUGGUGCGACGCCGCGUGGGGGAAUGAAGGUCUUCGGAUUGUAAACCCCUGUCAUGUGGGAGCAAAUUAAAAAGAUAGUACCACAAGAGGAAGAGACGGCUAACUCUGUUCCAGCAGCCGCGGUAAUACAGAGGUCUCAAGCGUUGGUCGGAAUCACUGGGCGGAAAGCGUUCGUAGGCUGUUUCGUAAGUCGUGUGUGAAAGGCGCGGGCUCAACCCGCGGACGGCACAUGAUACUGCGAGACUAGAGUAAUGGAGGGGGAAGCGGAAUGCGCGGUGUAGCAGUGAAAUGCGUAGAGAUCGAGAGGAACACUCGUGGCGAAGGCGGGUUCCUGGACAUUAACUGACGCUGAGGCACGAAGGCCAGGGGAGCGAAAGGGAUUAGAUACCCCAGUAGUC